rnacentral:rRNA from 1 species
UAAAAAGCUCGUAGUUGGUUCUGCGUGCCGCGCUGUCGGUUCGCCGCCUGUCGGUGUUACUGGCAUGUCGCGGCAUGUCCUGUCGGUGGUGAAUGAAAUCCCCGGUGCUACGUAGGCUUUUAUUAGCUGAAGUAUGUGCCGUGGUGACUUCAUUUGCCGAUUUCUCCUACUCCGGUGCUCUUAAACGAGUGUCGAGGUAGGCCGACACGUUCACUUUGAACAAAUUAGAGUGCUUAAAGCAGGCUAAAAUAUCUGCCUGAAUAGUGGUGCAUGGAAUAAUAAAAUAGGACCUCGGUUCUAUUUUAUUGGUUUUAGGAAUAUGAGGUAAUGAUCAAUGUGGACUGGCGGGGGCAUUCGUAUUGCGACGUUAGAGGUGAAAUUCUUGGAUCGUCGCAAGACGCACUAGAGCGAAAGCAUUUGCCAAGUAUGUCUUAAUUGAUCAAGAACGAAAGUUAGAGGUUCGAAGGCGAUCAGAUACCGCCCUAGUUCUAACCAUAAACGAUGCCAGCCAGCGAUCCGCCGAUGUUCCUUUAAUGACUCGGCG